rnacentral:rRNA from 1 species
UUCUGGCCUGACACUGACACUGAGGUGCGAAAGCGUGGGUAGCAAACAGGAUUAGAUACCCUGGUAGUCCACGCCGUAAACGAUGUCGACUAGCCGUUGGGACCUUUAAGGACUUAGUGGCGCAGUUAACGCGAUAAGUCGACCGCCUGGGGAGUACGGCCGCAAGGUUAAAACUCAAAUGAAUUGACGGGGGCCCGCACAAGCGGUGGAGCAUGUGGUUUAAUUCGAUGCAACGCGAAGAACCUUACCUACCCUUGACAUCCUGCGAAUUUGGUAGAGAUACCUUAGUGCCUUCGGGAGCGCAGUGACAGGUGCUGCAUGGCUGUCGUCAGCUCGUGUUGUGAAAUGUUGGGUUAAGUCCCGUAACGAGCGCAACCCUUGUCCUUAUUUGCCAGCGAGUAACGUCGGGAACUCUAAGGAGACUGCCGGUGACAAACCGGAGGAAGGUGGGGACGACGUCAAGUCAUCAUGGCCCUUACGGGUAGGGCUACACACGUGCUACAAUGGCCGGUACAAAGGGUUGCGAGACCGCGAGGUGGAGCGAAUCCCAGAAAGCCGGCCUCAGUCCGGAUCGGAGUCUGCAACUCGACUCCGUGAAGUCGGAAUCGCUAGUAAUCGUGAAUCAGAAUGUCACGGUGAAUACGUUCCCGGGCCUUGUACACACCGCCCGUCACACCAUGGGAGUGGACUGCACCAGAAGUGGUUAGCUUAACCUUCGGGAGAGCGAUCACCACGGUGUGGUUCAUGACUGGGGUGAAGUCGUAACAAGGUAACC